AUUGAACGCUGGCGGCAGGCCUAACACAUGCAAGUCGAGCGGCAGCGGAAAGUAGCUUGCUACUUUGCCGGCGAGCGGCGGACGGGUGAGUAAUGUCUGGGAAACUGCCUGAUGGAGGGGGAUAACUACUGGAAACGGCAGCUAAUACCGCAUAACGUCGCAAGACCAAAGAGGGGGACCUUCGGGCCUCUUGCCAUCAGAUGUGCCCAGAUGGGAUUAGCUAGUAGGUGGGGUAACGGCUCACCUAGGCGACGAUCCCUAGCUGGUCUGAGAGGAUGACCAGCCACACUGGAACUGAGACACGGUCCAGGCUCCUACGGGAGGAAGCAGUGGGGAAUAUUGCACGAUGGGCGCAAGCCUGAUGGAGCCAUGCCGCGUGUAUGAAGAAGGCCUUCGGGUUGUAAAGUACUUUCAGCGGGGAGGAAGGCGUUGAGGUUAAUAACCUCAGCGAUUGACGUUACCCGCAGAAGAAGCACCGGCUAACUCCGUGCCAGCCGCCGCAGUAA
rnacentral:rRNA from 1 species